GCCAGACUCCUACGGGAGGCAGCAGUGAGGAAUAUUGGUCAAUGGGCGGAAGCCUGAACCAGCCAAGUCGCGUGAGGGAUUAAGGCCCUGCGGGUCGUAAACCUCUUUUGCCGGGGAGCAGUGGUCCGGACGCGUCCGGACCGGGAGAGUACCCGGAGAAAAAGCAUCGGCUAACUCCGUGCCAGCAGCCGCGGUAAUACGGAGGAUGCGAGCGUUAUCCGGAUUUAUUGGGUUUAAAGGGUGCGUAGGCGGGCAUUUAAGUCAGCGGUAAAAUCGUGGGGCUCAACCCCAUCCAGCCGUUGAAACUGGGGAUCUAGAGUGUGCGAGAGGUAUGCGGAAUGCGUGGUGUAGCGGUGAAAUGCAUAGAUAUCACGCAGAACCCCGAUUGCGAAGGCAGCAUACCGGUGCACAACUGACGCUCAGGCACGAAAGCGUGGGUAUCGAACAGGAUUAGAUACCCUUGUA
rnacentral:rRNA from 1 species